rnacentral:tRNA from 1 species
GGUCUAUUAGUUUAAUUAAAAUGCUGGUUUUGUAGUCCUGUGAUAAUUUUAUAUUAUUGACCU